rnacentral:rRNA from 1 species
AUGCCUGCUGCAAGCGUGCCGAUCAGGCCUGCCGUUACCGGAGCAGCCGCGCUUCCCGGCGUGGUCGAGUUCGCCCCGUCGGCGGCCGGCGCCGGCGGGCUGCUCGUGUCGGAUCCAGGGGCGCCCGGCGAUGAUCCGCCUCCAGGUGUACCCGGCGACGGAGCUGGACUCGUCGUCGGCGGUGGCGAGUCCGGGGUUGCCCCGGGAGCAGCUGUCGGAGACGACGGGCUGGGCAUCGGUUCGCCGGACGGCGGUGUCAUGGAAGGGGGAGACAUCGGGCUCGGCAUCGGCGCGGCGGAUGGUGGUGUCAUGGAAGGAGGAGCCAUCGGGCUGGGCAUCGGCGCGGCGGACGGCGGUGUCAUGGAAGGCGGCGACAUCGGGCUGGGCAUGGGCGGCGCGGACGACGGUGGCAUGGAGGGAGGAGGGGGCGGCGGCAGGAGGCCCGGCGGGGUGUGGUCGACGGAGAGCACGACGACGAUGAGCUUCUGCUCCGCCUUGCAGCUGGCCUCGUUGCCGCUGAUGAAGAAGAAGGGGCCGGAGCGGUCGAGCGUGAAGACGGUGCUGCCGCCCUGGAACUUGCUCACGUAG